rnacentral:tRNA from 1 species
AAUGUUGUAGCUGUGUGGUUAAGGCGAUAGACUAGAAAUUUAUUGGGGUCUCUCUUCAGAGGUUCAAAUCCUAUCAGUGAUG